rnacentral:sRNA from 1 species
ACAAAACGAUAUGAAAA